CCUACGGGAGGCAGCAGUGGGGAAUAUUGGACAAUGGGCGCAAGCCUGAUCCAGCCAUACCGCGUGGGUGAAGAAGGCCUUCGGGUUGUAAAGCCCUUUUGUUGGGAAAGAAAUCCAGCUGGCUAAUACCCGGUUGGGAUGACGGUACCCAAAGAAUAAGCACCGGCUAACUUCGUGCCAGCAGCCGCGGUAA
rnacentral:rRNA from 2 species